AAAUAUCAUGAGAAUUCAAAAAUUGACGAACAAUUCAACUAUUAGCAUGAUAAGACAGGCAUGCCAAGUACUAAAUUCUACUAAGUUGACUUCAGGCUGAACUUUAGACAUCUAGAGAGACAGGGUACAACACCUGUUUCGUGCUGAUAUCCUUAAUAACAAAGAAAUCAGGGGGAAGACUCAAUAGAUACAUUAUUUUGAUGAGUAAAGGUAGAA
rnacentral:misc_RNA from 1 species